UAUCUUGAAUGUCUCCACUCCAUACAAGAUGCUCUGGAGGAACGUGGAAAACCCUUUGCAACUGCCAUCUAAACAUCAGGUUUCCCACGGAGGCUUGCCUGCAAAUGUAACAAGUUCUUUCUUUUUGCCUGCAUAAUUGGGUGACUGCCCAGAAAGAAAAAGAAUGAACUCUCCAGCUCCUGUCGGAUCUUCCUGAAAAUAGCUCAAACCCAUAUGGCAUUUGCCUCCUGCUGAUACUUCCACACCAGGAAUCCCUUCAGCAAAGCAACCAAGACUCAAAGAGAAAUACAUAAUAUGUUCUUUGCUCCUUAUGCUCGUAUACCUAAGCCCUGUUCUCUAAAUCAGAGGCCCAGAGAAAACUCUGGUGAAGAUCAGGAAAUCCUACCUACAGUUCAACCUGGAAGCUGAAGAAUUUCCUAUUCUGGCAAAAUGAAUUUUAGGAUGGUGCCCCCAGAAAAGAUUUACAAAGCUGCCUCUGUGAGAGAUGGUUGCUUCCAGAUCCCAAAGCCUCUGACUGAAUCAGUAACAGCAAUUGCUGAAUGUGAGACCUCUCAAUUUAAUUCCGGAGUCUGUAUCACCCAAGGAAAGACCCAGCACUACAGUCAACCCCAGGAUCAUGAAGCCCUGUGGAUUGUAAAUAUGCAAUUAGCAGCUGGAGUAGAAGUAAAAGCAGAAAAUGUCAACUGUCAAGUAGCUCCAUUGAAAGAUACAUGAUGCUUCAAGCUAAAACAGAAAGACAAAAGCACCUACCAACAAGGAUGAAGGAUCCCAGGGAGGGGUCAUUGCCAACUGAGCAUCUGAGUGAUGUCAAGGUCCCAGCUCUGCUUCUUGUCCACUGUGCCAGGGAUCAGCAGGCUGGGCAGUGGAUCCCUCCCUUCUUCAGAGCACCAUCUCCUCCAAUCCUGCUUCCUCAGUGCUACUCAGACAUUUGCACCAUGCCUUUCCUUCUGCCAGGAUACAGAAAAGCAGGGAAGAACAGUUUCUCCAAGACCACCAUGCUGUCCCAGGAAAUCCUUUUGCUACAGACUGAACUUCUUUCUCCAUGUUUCCUCACACAAAAUAUUCUACUACAUGCCCAUCAAAUUGGCAGUGGGCACAGAGAUAACACUGUUCUUCAGGGUACUGUAAUGAAAAAUAUGAUUCGUAUCUACAAAAUACAGCUCUCAGGGCCAGGGCAGAGUCAUGGGGGUAACACCACAUAUCUUUGUGCAACUUCAGAACCCAUGUCUGGGACUAAGGCAUCUACUGUACUAUGAAGUUCAACUAAUCUGAAAGUAAUGCUGAGAUCUGAAGCAGGCAUGAAUACUGAUGAAGGCUAAAAGGAUGCCAAAUUAAACCUCAACUCAUAUCCUCUUUGUUGUAAAAAAGAGUGGUGUACAAGCAAUACCAGUGAUGCUGCUGUGACAAAAUGUGCUGCAAGACUGUGCAUUUUCAGACUGACUUCAAAUAUUUGAUCUGUUCUUUUCUGGAUACAAGGCAACUUCAGCUUCUGCAGAAAGCUCCUCCACUCAGUUUUAGGCACUACCUGAACUCAGCUGUCAGCUCCCUAUAUGGACAAUGAUAAAAAUAACAUGCCCAAGAUAUGAUUUAGAUUUUAGGUGGGCAAAUCAUUCUCUACAUGAGCUUCUCUCAUUUCAUUGAAUACUGAAGAAACCUGGGAGAAGUAUUCUCUCAGUUUAGUUGCCUUGAGUAGAUUGGAUCAAUUCAGGACUAUGGGAAAAAUUUAAAUGCUCAUUUGAGUGCUAAGAAGCAAAUUAUCCACUAUAUAAGCGCCACUGAAUGCAUGGCAAUAAUACAGGAUAGCAAGGUACUUGAGCAACAGAAUGUUGUUGUCACAUUUAGUUUAAGCAUCAUAAUAUUUGUAUAUAUUUCUUUAUUUUUAUACAGUUAGAAGUAUAAAUCACCGUCUUGUAGAGAAAUAACAAGUCACGGGUAACCAGUAAAGGUCUGUGCCCUAAACUACAAAGAUACUGUAUUAGAUGAUGGUAAAGGUGAUUGAAUUUGAAAUGUAAAGCAAAUAGUGAGAAUGUGGCUGUAUACAUCAUCUGUUUUAUGUCCUCUCACAUCAAGUGUUUCUUGGUGUUAGACAUGUCAGCUACUAAUUGAUCUUUUUUGUUCUUCUAAAGAUGGAGUUUCAGACUAAGUUAGUAUUAUUCAGCUAAAGCUUUUUCUGAUGUCAGGACUAAAUAGAAUUGCAACUCCAGCUGUCAACUUCUAGCAGCCAAUAACAACCCUAUUUACUUGGAAUUUUUACCAAUUUUAAUUAGCUAUUUUAUAUACUAGUAUGUGCAAGCACUACACUUAACUAGUGCCAUGUCUGUAUAUGUGUUCUUUACCUUAAAGACUGGUGCAGUCGUAUGUUUUCACAGUAGAAGAUAGAAAAGAAAGUUAUUUGUGUAUUCCCCCGUCCACUUUUCUAAUAUAUCAAAACUUGUUUGUUUGGUUGUUUUUUACCAGACAUACAUCCACUCAGGAAGGUAGCUAAUUAAGUCCGGAAAAGCUUUUGGCAAAUUUACCUGCAAUGUUAAUAAACUAUUUUUACUUUAUGUGUGCAUCUAUAUGAAUAUACAUAUGUACUCACACAUAUGGCUGAACAUAUGCUUAGGACAAUUAAAAGACAAUACCAAGCAAAACCAAAAA